rnacentral:rRNA from 1 species
CCUACGGGUGGCAGCAGUGAGGAAUAUUGGUCAAUGGACGAGAGUCUGAACCAGCCAAGUAGCGUGAAGGAUGACUGCCCUAUGGGUUGUAAACUUCUUUUAUAUGGGAAUAAAAUGUUCCACGUGUGGGAUUUUGUAUGUACCAUAUGAAUAAGGAUCGGCUAACUCCGUGCCAGCAGCCGCGGUAAUACGGAGGAUCCGAGCGUUAUCCGGAUUUAUUGGGUUUAAAGGGAGCGUAGGUGGAUUGUUAAGUCAGUUGUGAAAGUUUGCGGCUCAACCGUAAAAUAGCAGUUGAAACUGGCAGGCUGGAGUACAGUAGAGGUGGGCGGAAUUCGUGGUGUAGCGGUGAAAUGCUUAGAUAUCACGAAGAACUCCGAUUGCGAAGGCAGCUUACUAAACUGCAACUGACACUGAGGCUCGAAAGUGUGGGUAUCAAACAGGAGUAGAUACCCCGGUAGUC